GGGGCAUUAAGCCCACCAGUUCAGUUUAGUUCCAGCUGCCUAAGUGGAUACAUCUGCAUUUUUCUGAGAUGACAUCAAGAGGCUGCAAGCAUUCGGCAGACGCAUUUUGCUAUGUCUGUGGGCAAUUUUUUUAAGACAAGAGUGAAAAAGUACUCUGUGGAAGUAACUGCUAAGAUGUGUGAGGCCGACAAAGCAUUUUUCGACAUGCCUGUCGGGGAUCAAGACAAACCCUGGGCACCUAAUUUCACCUGCGAGCAAUGCAAAAAAACUCUGGAAGGAUGGUACAGAGGGGAAAAGAGAGCCAUGAAGUUCGCUAUCCCAAUAAUUUGGCGGGAACCCACUGACCACUCAAGCAACUGCUACUUCUGCAUGGUGGACCCUUCCAAACGUCGGACUGGCAAGAAUGCGCCUGCUAUCACGUAUCAGGACCUUCCGUCAUCCAUCGCCACACUGCCAUGAGCUCCCCGUACCCACUCCUCCGGAGAGAGAGCAGCCGUCUUUAGAAGAGAGCAGCAAGUCAGAGGGCGAGGAAGACGUAGAUCCAGAUGACAAUUUCAGAGGUGGAGCUGAGGAGAGAACCCCAUAAUACCCUAACUAAAAAUACCUCAACGACUUGAUCAGAGAUAUUGGUCUCACCAAGGCGCACGACCACAGGCGGGACUUGCCACAGCGGACCGAAUUCUCUGUGGGGAGGAACAACGUCAUGUGGGAGCCACUGGUGGACCCCCAGAAGGUGCUGAUGCCACAACUGCACAUCAAAUUGGGCCUUAUGAAACAAUUUGUCAGAGCUGUAGGUAAGGAGUUGGCAGCCUUCCAAGUACCUUCAAGACUUCUUCCCUAAGCUGUCUGAGGCAAAGGUCAAAGCCGGUGUCUUCGUCGGACCACAGAUAAAGAAGAUCCUGGAGUGCAAUGAAUUCCCCAAGGAGCUCAAUAGAAUUGGUAAACAUGCCGAGACCUUCAACUCGUCAACACUUGAGAAGCUGGCUUCAUCACAUACUCCGGCUGAAACCUCGAAUCGAAACCCAGGACCUAGGCAGUGCCUGCUCUGCGCCAUGACCUCCGAAAUGCGGCCGAGUGAUCUUCAAAAAGGGCGCAGCGAAGAGAGCGUUCGAAACAAUCGCAGCCGAGCCGACGGCGAAGAACGUCCCCCCCCCCCCGGGGGAGGACUCCCCACCAAACCUCGCCGCCAACAACGGCGCGGUGGAUUUGUUUGUGGGAGUUCACACGGACGGACACGCCACGCGAUGAAAUGUUCACACCGCCAAGUGUGCGCUCGCAAGUCCGUCGUGUUUUUUGUUUUACCGCUCUCUGCGAACGUACGAGCCCCGCGGACGGAUAGAGAACAAGAUGCACCUCUUUCGGCAGCAGA